GCCGGAGUGGCGGAAUGGCAGACGCACGGGUCUCAAAAACCCGCGGGGGCAACUCCAUGUGGGUUCGACUCCCACCUUCGGCACCA
rnacentral:tRNA from 1 species